GCCGAGGACUCCUACGGGAGGCAGCAGUGGGGAAUAUUGCACAAUGGGCGCAAGCCUGAUGCAGCCAUGCCGCGUGUAUGAAGAAGGCCUUCGGGUUGUAAAGUACUUUCAGCAGUGAGGAAGGUGGGUAUGUUAAUAGCAUAUUCAUUUGACGUUAGCUGCAGAAGAAGCACCGGCUAACUCCGUGCCAGCAGCCGCGGUAAUACGGAGGGUGCGAGCGUUAAUCGGAAUUACUGGGCGUAAAGCGCAUGCAGGUGGUUUGUUAAGUCAGAUGUGAAAGCCCGGGGCUCAACCUCGGAAUUGCAUUUGAAACUGGCAAACUAGAGUACUGUAGAGGGGGUAGAAUUUCAGGUGUAGCGGUGAAAAUGCGUAGAGAUCUGAAGGAAUACCGGUGGCGAAGGCGGCCCCCUGGACAGAUACUGACACUCAGAUGCGAAAGCGUGGGGAGCAAACAGGAUUAGAUACCCUGGUAG
rnacentral:rRNA from 1 species